rnacentral:rRNA from 1 species
UACGUAGGGUGCAAGCGUUAAUCGGAAUUACUGGGCGUAAAGCGUGCGCAGGCGGUGAUGUAAGACAGAUGUGAAAUCCCCGGGCUCAAACUGGGAACUGCAUUUGUGACUGCAUCGCUGGAGUGCGGCAGAGGGGGAUGGAAUUCCGCGUGUAGCAGUGAAAUGCGUAGAUAUGCGGAGGAACACCGAUGGCGAAGGCAAUCCCCUGGGCCUGCACUGACGCUCAUGCACGAAAGCGUGGGGAGCAAACAGG